rnacentral:rRNA from 1 species
AGUAACUGCGAGUGAAGCGGGAAAAGCUCAAAUUUAAAAUCUGGUGGUCUUUGGCCAUCCGAGUUGUAAUUUAGAGAAGCGUCUUCCGCGCUGGACCGUGCACAAGUCUCCUGGAAUGGAGCGUCAUAGAGGGUGAGAAUCCCGUCUUUGGCAUGGACACACCAGGGCUUUUGUGAUGCGCUCUCGAAGAGUCGAGUUGUUUGGGAAUGCAGCUCAAAAUGGGUGGUGAACUCCAUCUAAAGCUAAAUAUUGGCGAGAGACCGAUAGCGAACAAGUACCGUGAGGGAAAGAUGAAAAGCACUUUGGAAAGAGAGUGAAACAGUACGUGAAAUUGUUGAAAGGGAAACGCUUGAAGUCAGUCACGUCGACCGAGACUCAGCCUUGCCUCGGCUUGGUGUACUUCUCGGCCAACGGGUCAGCAUCAAUUUUGCCCCUUGGAUAAUGGCGAGGGAAAUGUGACACCUUUAUGGUGUGUUAUAGUCUCUCGUCGCAUGCAAGGGUUGGGAUUGAGGAACUCAGCACGCGCCUUUGGGUGUCGGGGCUUUGCCCACGAUACGUGCUUAGGAUGUUGGCAUAAUGGCUUUAAACGACCCGUCUUGAAACACGGACCAAGGAGUCUAACAUGCCUGCGAGUGUUCGGGUGGAAAACCCGUGCGCGCAAUGAAAGUGAAAGUUGGGACCUCUGUCGUGGAGGGCACCGACGCCCGGACCAGACCUUCUGUGACGGCUCUGCGGUAAAGCAUGUAUGUUAGGACCCGAAAGAUGGUGAACUAUGCCUGAAUAGG